UACGAAGGGGGCGAGCGUUGUUCGGAUUUACUGGGCGUAAAGGGCGCGUAGGCGGCCGAUCAAGUCAGGCGUGAAAGCCCCGGGCUCAACCUGGGAAUUGCGCUUGGGACUGGUUGGCUGGAGUUCGGGAGAGGAGAGCGGAAUUCCCAGUGUAGAGGUGAAAUUCGUAGAUAUUGGGAAGAACACCGGUGGCGAAGGCGGCUCUCUGGGACGGUACUGACGCUGAGACGCGAAAGCGUGGGGAGCGAACAGG
rnacentral:rRNA from 1 species